GACGAACCGUGCGAACGUUGUUCGGAAUCACUGGGCUUAAAGGGCGCGUAGGCGGGCAAGCAAGUCCGGGGUGAAAUCUUUCGGCUCAACCGGAAAAGUGCCUUGGAUACUGCUUGUCUCGAGGGAGGUAGGGGUUGCUGGAACUUCCGGUGGAGCGGUGAAAUGCGUUGAUAUCGGAAGGAACGCCGGUGGCGAAAGCGAGCAACUGGAUCUCUUCUGACGCUGAGGCGCGAAAGCGUGGGGAGCGAACAGG
rnacentral:rRNA from 1 species